rnacentral:misc_RNA from 1 species
GAUGAAGAAACGUAGCGAAAUGCGAUAAGUAAUGUGAAUUGCAGAAUUCAGUGAAUCAUCGAAUCUUUGAACGCACAUUGCGCCCAUUAGCAUUCUAGUGGGCAUGCCUGUUCGAGCGUCAUUUCAACCCUUAAGCCCUGUUGCUUAGCGUUGGGAGCCUACAGUACUGUAGCUCCCCAAAGUUAGUGGCGGAGUCGGUUUCACACUCUAGACGUAGUAAUUUUUUCUCGUCUGUAGUUGAGCCGGUCCCCUGCCGUAAAACACCCAAUUUAUCAAGGUUGACCUCGGAUCAGGUAGGAAUACCCGCUGAACUUAAGCAUAUCAAUAAGCGGAGGA